CUGUCGGUCGCAAAAUCACAUUCUUUCACCGUUGGGAAUUGAAAAUACAUUAACCAUGCAAAGUUAAUCAAUCCAAAAGCACCGCGAGCCUGCUGCAAGGUUUUUGUUUCGUAAAACGUUUUGAUUACUGCGAAUGUUCUCUGUUCAGUGGUUAAUUGAACCAUGUUUAAUGCAAUAAUGGACGUUCGUGUUGUCUCACUAAGACGAAGAUUGACGAGUUGAGCUCAUUUUCAGAUAACUUAACAUUUAAUUCCCUCUUGGGAAUUGUCUAUGUUUCGUUUUCCACAAUGCAAUUCCCAACGGUGGAAGAAUGUGAUUUCAACCGGCAAUUUUUAUUUGACGAGUAUGUGGCUAUUUCUCAUCGUUACGAUUUAAAAAGAGUAUCAUGAUUGAAAAGCUAAAUAACUGUUCUUUUGUCGUAUGUAAAAAUUGAAUUGUUUAGCCACGUUUAUGAUUCACGACAGCCUGUUUUUUUAGACACCCUGCAGACCGCCCCCUCCCAACAGCCGCCUACUUUAUCAAAAUGACAGAAACCUACUCAGAAUAAUUCUGAAAGCCCUGAAAGAGCCCUUUUUGUACAAGCUAAUGUUGCUGUAAAUACUAUAUUAUCAUCGAAGGUGCCCUUUUUGUUUCCUGAAAACAUUUACGUAUGUCAUUUUACACAAGCUAGUUAGCACCACAAAGUGCCACACAGACAAACAAUAAGUGAAAUGUGGAAGUAUAAAAUUUUGAUAUAACACACAUUGUACUGUACGUCUAGAGAUAAG